rnacentral:rRNA from 1 species
GAUGAACGCUGGCGGCGUGCCUAAUACAUGCAAGUCGAGCGAACAGACGAGGAGCUUGCUCCUCUGACGUUAGCGGCGGACGGGUGAGUAACACGUGGAUAACCUCCCUAUAAGACUGGGAUAACUUCGGGAAACCGGAGCAAAUACCGGAUAAUAUAUUGAACCGCAUGGUUCAAUAGUGAAAGACGGUUUUGCUGUCACUUAUAGAUGGAUCCGCGCCGCAUUAGCUAGUUGGUAAGGUAACGGCUUACCAAGGCAACGAUGCGUAGCCGACCUGAGAGGGUGAUCGGCCACACUGGAGCUGAGCCGCGGUCCAGGCUCCUACGGGAGGCAGCAGUAGGGAAUCUUCCGCAAUGGGCGGAAGCCUGACGGAGCGACGCCGCGUGAGUGAUGAAGGUCUUCGGAUCGUAAAACUCUGUUAUUAGUGAAGAACAAAUGUGUAAGUAACUAUGCACGUCUUGACGGUACCUAAUCAGAAAGCCACGGCUAACUACGUG